rnacentral:lncRNA from 1 species
CGCCAUGGCAGGGCCUCGUCCAUCCAGCCUGGGCCGCGCUGGCCGGAGCAGACCGCAAGCCGCCCGCUGGGAGCCCAGCCAAGAGCGGUGUUUUUCCAGGUCCGCGCAGGGCCACGGGAACCCGCGUGUUUGUUUGGUGGGAAUGGAUUCCUGGAAAACUAGACGGAAGGCUCUCCCAGCUGCUGACUCCGCUCUGUUGAUGGAUACCAUCCAGUGUCACCACAGGGGCUUCCAGUGCCUGGAAUUUUGGUGGGAGGAGAGCAACUUCAGGAAUGAAGAAGCAAGCUCCCAGAGGGCAAAGCUUUCCUUGGCUUGAUACACGGCUUGCUCCCCAGCAACCUGGAAACACGCCCCAUGCCUCUGAGGAGGUAACAGCAGCAGAGAUUCAAGGCAGAACUUGGGGAGACGCCCAUCAAAGCAGCAUCUGCUGCCAAGGAAAAAAACCAGUGAAGAUAAUGAAUGGGCCAGAAAUUCUUCAAGAUUCCCCUCCAUCAAAGAAGUUGUUUAUCCUACAUACUGGUUUCCAGCCUGUGAUGGGCCUUUAAGUGAACCUGGCUCACCCACACGUGCAGUCAGUCCCACCUUUGGAACUAAAAAAGCAACCCCAGGGUAGUAGGUGGC